GGGGGGGGGGGGGGGGGGAGGUGGUGGUGGGGUGUGCGGUUUGGGUAUUGUUGUUGUUGAUUGUGGUCCUGAACGCUUGAGAGGUGUGCUUCUUGUAUGUUCUGCCAAAUGCAUGUCAGUCAUAUUCAAGCACUGUAUACAGCUAUGUUGGUUCAACUCUUCACUUCGACCCGGUACACGUGCAUUGGACACAUAAUUAACUCCAAAUGCAGGGAAAAUUACAAAAGAAUAUAACAUGCACAUAUCAGACAUGGAUAUUUACCCAACAUCUAUAUUGAUUUCAGAACAAAACAGGCUUGCAUAAGUUACAUUGCUAAAUUUGUCUUAUCACCUAUCAUAUUUGCUAUAAUUUUCAUUCAUCUUCCUAAAACAAUACUUUGCAUUGGUCAAUAAUGUGCAAGGCAUUACUUGAUGAGCACAUUCCAACUGUUAGGAAUCUCUGGAGGAAAGAAGAAGAUUACACUUUGGGUAAAGAAAUUUUAAACGCAUCAAUUCAUGUGGUUUGAAAUUUGAACUAGUGAGAGAAUUCUUCUUUCGUUUUUUUGUCUAUGGCUAAUGUUUUAUCCUGCUAUUUUAUAGUAAACCACAUGUUAAGUAUAGGCCAAAUGCUAUUAUGCUGAGACGCUCCUCAAUCGAAACAGCACAGGUAUCUAUUCUUGUGCAUAAAAGUGUGUUUACUAAAUUCUAUAUUACUUUUGAUUGAGAUAAGCUCUUUUUAUAAGAUCAUCCAAAAAUGGAGUUUAUGCAACAGAAAUUGGAGUUGAAGUAGGAAAUAAAUAACUUGCAUAUUCUUGAUAUAGAUAAUCUUUUUAUCCGCAUAAAUGGUCUUAGGUUUGAGCGACCGUUUUCAAAAAUCAUGCAGCUCUAGGAUAAAAUUAUUGUAGUUAGUUUCUAAUGCUCACUUCUUGUAUUGUUGGGUUUUCCAUCUCUUCAAUGCUUUUUUCGACUAAUUCCAUAGUUUAUUCUAAUCAAUCAGGACUAGUUUGAAUACAGAAUUUUCUGGUGAAGCAGGUGGCUUGUACAUGCAUGUGUUUUGUAGUGUGGACUACAUCCAAUCAUUGAAGGAUUGAAAUCAGUUUAUGCAUUUUCAGGCAGACUUAUGUUUUAUGACCCAACGCUAUAGAUGAUUUUUAGAUUUCCUAGUGAGCCCUUUGUAUUCUCAUAUGCAAGAUAUAAAUUACAUGAGCCUGAGUGAGUGAACUUUUUGGUUCCUCUUUUUGGUGGGGUGGGUAAGCGGGAGGAGUAAGAAUCAAGAAUAAUGUACUGCUUAAUUCAUACACAAAUUGGCCAGGUGUGCUAUGAGCUCUCUGCAACUUUUACUUUUUUCUCAACCUUUUUUGCACAAAAAUUUUUCUAACGCAAGUUUAAUUGGAAAAUUUCUCCUGCCCGUUUGACGGAUUUGGCUUUCAUCAGCCUCCAUUGAACAGUGUUGACCAUUUACACCUCCAUUGUCUGGCAUUACCCUUCAAACCCAGAUGGAAACAUAUAAAAUACCUGUCUUCUGGACCACUUGGGUUUGUUGAAUCUGAGAAGUUGCUGGAGAAGAUAAAUCCCACAUAACCACUUACAACUUAGGUGUGAUUGUGUCCCGUUUGCUUUGCUUUUUUCAGUUGUAAAUGAUAUUGUUGUUUUCAUGCUAUUGAUCGUUGCCAUGCAAAGUUAACAUCUUUGCUUUCCCAGACAAAUGUCACCACAUUCUUUAAGCUCAUUUUAUCUGAUUCUGUUUCUUUUGGCCACUGCUGGUAAAUGAUUUUCUCUGCUGUUGUGAAUGAUAUAUGCAGGAAGUGCAUCCAUAAAUAUCGUACCUUACACUCUUCAUUGGUACUUCUGCUUCAGGUAAAAUACUUGAUGCUAUUAAAUCCUAUGGUCCACAAGAUGAAUGCUAAAAACCAUUGCUAAGAAAGGCUCAACCAAUUUUUUAAUAGUUAAAAUGUUGAUACCCCCCUGAGCUUUUUGAAAAACUGAAUUUUCUUACUUUUGGGUUGGCCUAUAUCAUAAUCAAGGGCCUUGCAGAUUCCCUGUGCAUGCCUCAUUGUUCAUGAUUGGUGGGCUCUCCUUGUUUCCUAGCAUUCAUGGUUGUGGGAGCCAAUAGAGCCCCCAUUGAUGCUUUAGGAUUUUGGAACAAGAAAGUCAUUUACUUGUUCCUCGUUGGCUUGAACUUUUGGUUUUCCUAAUGGCUCCACUCCUUGCACGUGUUUUUUGGGAAGAUUCUGUUUGUCCAACCAUAACAGCAUGAUGAAGAAAAGACUUCAAUAUGGUUUCCAAUGCUUGGUUUUUCCCUUAAUUCUUUUCCUUUCUUCUAGUAUGCUGAAGGUAUCUGUUUUUGUUGAUGAAAAUUAAAUUGGUAUAGUUAUGGCCUUAUAAUGUGGCAGAUGAUGCUGCCCGCUGUUAUAGUUAUGUAAUGGCAUUUUGGCUAUUUCAACAAAUAAAUUUCAUUUAGAUGGAUCUUGGGUUUGACUUCACUAAUUUGGUAAUCUUAGUUAUUUGUUUAGAUAUUUUCAUUUGAGCCGUCAUUUAAGGGUGGCAUUUGUUGAUUAAAUCUGUCACAGUAUUGUUUCCUCUCAAUACGAGAAUUCUCUGGCAUUGUCUUGUGGCGUUUAUUAAAUUUUAUUGUCUGCUACAAGUUUGAAGUCAUGGUGUUUGUUAGUAUUGGCUAAUAAAUUUUAUUUUGUGGACUAUUCACAUACUUCAAAUGGUCAUAGUGUAAGGGAGUGCUUUGUGGCUAAUAACCAGGUCCUAGUCCUGGCCCCAGCCCGACUUAUCCCAUUUUUAUUUGGUGCUCAGCAACAUUUAGACCUAGGAGCUAUUGGCCUAUUGCCGUCCACCAUGCUAUGUACCAAAUGAGCCAAAUGCUUUAGGAAUAGGCUUUAACCAUUUGAUGGAUUUUCUGUCUGAAUUAUGACAUCUUCAUUUACUGCUAAUUUUUGUGUUUUUUUGUACUUGUAUGAUGUUAGAAUAUUACCUUCCAAAAUAAGUUUUUGCAUUGGAUGGAGAUAGUAUUGAGCAUGAUCAAGUAGAUAUCAAUAACCUAAUGAUGACUGAUCUUUAGUAUUAAAAUGCCCAAUGUUCUUUGGACAGAAAUAUGCAUAACAAGUCCCCAUUAAAUUCUGCUUAAAGCUAAUCUUUAUUGUUCUCUUGGCCAGCAAGAAAACCAUUUAGGCCGAUGAGUGUCAAAAUUGUACACAAAAAAGAUUAGCAUAAACAUCAUUACCAUAAACCAAUGGGGAAACAGGUAGUAGGCAGACAAUUAUAUGGGAAGGAAAAUACAUUAUUGUAUGGCAUAAUUUAUUGGCCUUUGUUUGGUAACACUAUGUGUAGAUGGCUCUGAAAGAGCUUUUCUUUUCUUCCUAAUGGCAGCCAUGAAUUACAUGAAAUUCUGAGGCAUGGUCAUUUUCAAGUAUGGUUUGUAUAAUGUAAUGUGGUUGUAGGUUCACAAGUACAGCUGUAUGGUAUAGUAUAGAUCUACUGCACUUAUUAAAAAGUAAUUAUUACGUGCUUGUUUAGUUCAAUUUCUAUUGCUUCUUUUCUUGACGUCGCCCAGUGAUGCUUUAUUCAUCAAUCAAGGAAGCGUGACUGUGAUGGUUACUACCA
rnacentral:misc_RNA from 1 species